rnacentral:rRNA from 1 species
AGUGAACGCUGGCGGCAGGCCUAAUACAUGCAAGUCGAACGGCAGCACAGCAGAGCUUGCUCUGUGGGUGGCGAGUGGCGGACGGGUGAGGAAUACGUGGGAAUCUGCCCAGUCGUGGGGGAUAACGUAGGGAAACUUACGCUAAUACCGCAUGCGCCCUUCGGGGGAAAGCCGGGGACCUUCGGGCCUGGCGCGAUUGGAUGAGCCCACGUCGGAUUAGCUAGUUGGCGGGGUAAAGGCCCACCAAGGCGACGAUCCGUAGCUGGUCUGAGAGGAUGAUCAGCCACACUGGAACUGAGACACGGUCCAGACUCCUACGGGAGGCAGCAGUAGGGAAUAUUGGACAAUGGGCGCAAGCCUGAUCCAGCCACGCCGCGUGAGUGAGGAAGGCCCUCGGGUUGUAAAGCUCUUUUGUCCGGAAAGAAAAGCGCCGGGUUAAUACCCUGGUGUCCUGACGGUACCGGAAGAAUAAGCACCGGCUAACUUCGUGCCAGCAGCCGCCGUAAAAC